GCAUUGGUGGUUCAGUGGUAGAAUUCUUGCCUUCCAUGGGGUGACCCAAGUUUGAUUCCUGACCAAUGUA
rnacentral:tRNA from 1 species